rnacentral:lncRNA from 10 species
AUUGAUCUUGGCUUAAGUACUGGUCCUGAAUUUAUCAAACUCGUUGUAAAAUGAGUUAAAAGUGAGGCUGAGCGCAGGGCCAAAACAAGGCUGAGACAAAACAUUCUUCCUUUAACUUGUCUGUGUUUCCCAGAGAAUGUGUUCUCAUUAUUUUGUCUGCUGUUUUGUACCUUUGGACAUUCCACCAAUGAUGAAAUUCAGACAGGUAAUUGCAACAUUCCUCAUAUCAUCUUCUAAAGAUUAAAUGUCUCCUCGCUUGUGUUUUUUUCAUUUUAUUUGGCAUUAUAUUUUAUUGCAUUUAGAUAAUCAGCAGAACUUGGUGCCUGUCUCUUUAUUUAUGAAAUGGGGAAAGAGUAUCUCCUUUAUGUUGCUAUUGUUGUGUUAAAUAUAAUAGCAUAUAUUUAAAACGUGGAAAGGCAUGAAUGGUGAAUAGUCAAUAAGUGCUAGUUUCCUCCCUGUUCUCCAGCCCCUAGAUAUGGGAAAUAUUUCUUUGCAGUAAGUUGAUCUGUGCUUACUGCAUUAGUUAACAAUUGUUAUGUUACAAAGCAUUCCAAACUCCUUAAAUAAUCAACAUUUUAAACAUUUCUCGUGAAGAUAGAGCCAUGUUGCUCUGCUAAUCUUGGCUAGGUUUGGCUCAUCUCACAGAGGCCUGAUCAUGUCAUGAAUAAUUAUCCAGCUAAGGGAGACUAGGCUUAGAGUGGUUUUUAAUACCUCCUAUCCCUUCAGCAGCCCAAUCCCUUCAGUGGGGUAU